rfam:Volvox carteri f. nagariensis unplaced genomic scaffold VOLCAscaffold_237, whole genome shotgun sequence.
GCUCAUGUGGUGUAGUGGUGAGCACUGUGGACUUUGAAUCCACCGACCUGAGUUCGAAUCUCAGCAUGAGCU